GAUCAUGGCUCAGGAUGAACGCUAGCUACAGGCUUAACACAUGCAAGUCGAGGGGCAGCAUGGUCUUAGCUUGCUAAGGCCGAUGGCGACCGGCGCACGGGUGAGUAACGCGUAUCCAACCUGCCUUACACUCUUGGACUGCCUUCUGAAAGGGAGAUUAAUACCGGAUAGUAUCGAGAGAUUGCAUGAUUACCCGAUUAAAGAUUCAUCGGUAACGGAUGGGGAUGCG
rnacentral:rRNA from 1 species